CAACAGACUCUUCCUGAAGAGCAGAAGGGGUCAGGAAGGAGCCGCAGAGUCGUGGAGCAGGGAGGCGCCGCGUGACUCAGUCCGGGUCUGCAGCACACCUCCUUGCUGAGCAAGGAGCCGCUCUGAGCGCAAUGGCCCAGAAGGGCCCCCGAGUCCAGCCUGGUGGCUCGAGUGGGUAGGACUGGGUCUCACCGGUUACACGGGGGUCGACUCCUGUGGGAGCUUCAGGUGACUCAAAGAUCACCAGUGCUAAAGGAUCUGCCUGCAAUGCAGGAGGCAGACUCUUAACUGCUGAGCCACUGGGAAAGCCGCGUACCAGCAGGUCACCAUGGGCAAAGGUGAGCGAUCGAGGGGAAAGCGUGCACGAGAGCAGAGAGACAAGCCAAGGCCGGAGGCUGUUUCCAUCGCGGCAAACCCGCCUCCUCUGCGGGUUCUGUGGGAGUUCCCGCUGCCCAUGGAAUCGCUCUGACACGCCGACCUGUGGUGAAUGUGGGUCUCCUGGUCUCGGCGGGCGGGUGAGUCAUCGCCCAUCGUCUCUUUGCUGGAGAGGAGGUUCCUUGAGGGCAGAAGUCAUGCCUCACUGUCACCCAGAGAGCCUGACGUGUAGGCCCUCAUCAGCAGUGUCUACCGGAGCAGACGGAAUAAAACUGCCCUCCAGCGCCUGAGAGCAGCUCUGCUCCUGCUCUCCUCACUGGGCUCCCCACACGGGGUGAACAGGUGUGACGACACGAAGGCGGGCGUGAGUCAGACCCAGGCUCUGUUUCCCAGGCUUCACCCCGCCAUCCCACGUCCAGGUCGCCUUCAUCUUGUGCUCGGAGGUGUGUGCCCCGGAAUGCCUCGUUCUUGCUCUGCCACCACGGACGUGGGCCACAGCCCACUGCUCCCGUCCUCCUGGCAGAUGGCUGGGCACAGUGGUAACACCACGUCUCACGCAUUGAAGACUUACAUCUCCCCUGACUCUACUGUCUCCAGAAUCGGAUGUGUCUCAUAGUCGAUGCAGAGGCUUUAUUUAACUGCCCCUUAUUAUCUCCUUUCUUAGCAGUGCCCCAAAUAACGGUGAGUCACGGAGCUGACAGCUGCCCAAGAUCCGGAAACACUGUUACUCACGCUUGCUGAGUGUCUAUCACGCAUCGGCCAUGGGUCUGCGAGUUCUAACCGCUGCACUCCUCCCGGCAAGCCUGCAUCCCACGUGCGGUUACUGUGCCGGCCCUGUAGACAGUCCCAGGCAGGGAGGGGAGAAGGAACUUCCUGUCUUCACAGGACCCCAAGCUGGGACAUGUCAGGGCUGAGAUUUGAACCUAAGCCAUCAGGUGCCAGACCAUAAGCAGUGGUUUUAAUCAAAGCCACUUCACCAGGGUUUUCCCCGGACCUUGCUGCACCCAUGGCCUCACCCAUCACGUUGCAAUGUUGCCCAGGCUCGAUAGCGCAGUGAGGAAAAUGCAGGGGCGACUCGGAUGCAGCGAGAUAUUCCACAAGCGUGUAGCUGGCUUGUGUGCUUGUGCUCAGAAAACUUCGUGAGAUCCAAGUCAGAUGUUGAGAUGGUACGGCAUGCCUUGGGUUCUUCCUAAGGUGAGACAGAAGCCCCGUGGAGCUGGCAGGGAGCUGCCCUGGAAGCCGGGCUUGUCCAACUUGCAGGAGGAAGGUUCAGGGUCCUGCGUGCAGGAAGUAUGAGGUCUCAGGGGCCUCGGGGGCCUCGGGGAGCCUCACCCCAUGUAAUGUAGCUGCCGAGGAUGUCACAGUGCCCUUGGAGACCGUGUUUGCAGGCUCCAGGGGGACCAGCCGGGAGACCCAGGGCCUCCUGGUGGCUGCCUGGACUCAGGCAACCCAGAUCCACACCCCAAAUCUGCCGUCUGUUCCCACACGCUUCUGAGGGGAUGUUGGGCCUCUCUCUCUGUGCCUGGGUCUCUGGGCCCGUAUAGCGGGAGUGACCGUGAUGUCUUCCUCAAUGUCGUGGUGAGAAUUCAGUGGUAAAUACACCCACUGUCCUUGGCUGGUCCCGGUCCAACAACGUCUUCAUGGCCACGAUCGUCACCACCCAGCCUGAACUGUGGUUCGUGCUGCCUCUCAAACCGGGACCAACACUGUGCCGAGCCCGUCCCUGAAAUCCUCAAAUUCCUCGCUGGUUAUUGGGUCAUCUCUGUCUCCCCCUUGACCUCCUCCCCCACCCCUACAACCAUCCAUGGCUGCCGGGGGUGGGGGUGGGCAUUUUCCUGAUUGCAGUGGACUCUGUGGGUUACGAUAAAUCCAUGACACGGUGCGGUUUGGUGUUAAUUUCAGGUCCAGGUCCCAUUCUGAGAGCUUCAACUCCCAGAUGAAGGUUUAGUUUAACUGGGAAGAGAAGCUGCGUUUUGUUCUUACCCUCUGUAGGUGGGACAGCAAAAAGCAAGGUCCGACUGUGCGUGUGGACAGCAGGCAGCGAUGGCUGUUUACAGACCGUCUUUUGUCCACGAGUUACAUCUGCAGGCAACAAGUCCGUGUGGAAGGCAGCCCCAAGGGGGGCCCAAGGGCUCUGCUUUCUGGAAAUCCAAGCCCUCCUGCCACUGUAUCGGGGCUGUUCUGCGUGGUUAAGGGCAGCAGGGGGACAGGCGUGCCUGAACACGGAGGAGCCCCCACCUUCGCCUCCUGGAUCAUGUGUCCAGGGAAAGCAGAUGCCAUGCACAGGCAGACAGUACUGAGAACAGCACCCAGAGAGCUGCUGAAGCGGACAAACAGCCCCACUUGCCGGCGGUGAGAGGAGAGGAAACAUGUGCCAGGCUCCCUCCCCGACCCUAACACAAGGCUCCGGAAACUCUCCGGACUUCCCGAGUGAUAAGAACAGAGGGGACCUCUUCUGUUCUCAUACUUGAUCUUUGACUCCAGCCCCUAUACAGACCUUCUAAGCCUCUUGGAAUUUCCUGGGCGACGGUCGUGUCCUCUGGUCUAGGGAGGUGGCUCCAGGUGGGCAUGUGGGUGGGAGCUGGUCACCAGGAAGACCCAGCCUGGACGAGAAGCUGGGAAUUUUCAGCUCCCCUAACUCCUUCCCUAGAGAAGGGCUGAAAACAGAGCUCAUGAUCCAUCAUGCCUGGAUGAUGAAGCCUCCCCAAAUCCCAGAAGCAGAGGGGUCAGAGAGCCCCCAGGCGGGUGAGCACACGGAGAUGUGGGGAGCAGCCCCCAGGGACGGUGUGGGGCUCCGGGCCCUCCCACACCUGCCCUACACACAUUUCUCUGCGUCCUUAUCACGUCUUUCUAUAAUAAACUAGGAGAGUAAGCAAAUCUUUCUGGGUUCUGUG
ensembl:lncRNA